AAUCAACGCUGGCGGCGUGCCUAACACAUGCAAGUCGAACGCGAGAGGGGCUUCGGCCCUGAUUGAGUGGCAAACGGGUGAGUAACGCGUGGGUGACCUACCUUCGAGUGGGGGAUAACGUUCCGAAAGGGACGCUAAUACCGCAUAACAUCCUGUCUUUGGACAGAUGGAGAUCAAAGCCGGGAUCGUAAGACCUGGCGCUUGAGGA
rnacentral:rRNA from 1 species